UGGCGACCGGCGCACGGGUGAGUAACGCGUAUCCAACCUGCCCUUUACUAUGGGACAGCCCGUCGAAAGGCGGAUUAAUACCGUAUGUUGUCAUGUUGAUGCAUAUUUUCAAGUGACCAAAGGGCUUCGGCCGGUAAAGGAUGGGGAUGCGUCUGAUUAGCUUGCCGGCGGGGUAACGGCCCACCGGGGCGACGAUCAGUAGGGGUUCUGAGAGGAAGGUCCCCCACAUUGGAACUGAGACACGGUCCAAACUCCUACGGGAGGCAGCAG
rnacentral:rRNA from 1 species